rnacentral:rRNA from 1 species
CCUACGUGAGGCAGCAGUGAGGAAUAUUGGUCAAUGGGCGCGAGCCUGGACCAGCCAAGUAGCGUGAAGGAUGACUGCCCUAAGGGUUGUAAACUUCUUUUAUAAAGGAAUAAAGUGAGGCUCGUGAGCCUUUUUGUAGGUACUUUAUGAAUAAGGAUCGGCUAACUCCGUGCCAGCAGCCGCGGUAAUACGGAGGAUCCGAGCGUUAUCCGGAUUUAUUGGGUUUAAAGGGAGCGUAGAUGGGUUGUUAAGUCAGUUGUGAAAGUUUGCGGCUCAACCGUAAAAUUGCAAUUGAUACUGGCAGUCUUGAGUACAGUUGAGGUAGGCGGAAUUCGUGGUGUAGCGGUGAAAUGCUUAGAUAUCACGAAGAACUCCGAUUGCGAAGGCAGCUUACUAAACUGCCACUGACAUUGAUGCUCGAAAGUGUGGGUAUCAAACAGGAUUAGAUACCCCAGUAGUC